GUGCACGGUAUGCUGGUAUGACCGCGUUUGUUUGACCCAUUUAUUGUAUUGUUCUGUUAAAGGUGGUUUUAUGUUGAUUAAACAACACCGUUGUUAGUCAGUUCUCGCUCUCCUGCACCGGACUUCUCUGCCGCCAGUACGCACCUCACUACACGUUUCUACUUUUACAGGAACAGCUAGCUUCCCAGUACAACUUCAGUGUUUACAAGCACAACCGCUACAGAUGGCAGAAGCGCAUUCUUCAGAUUGACUUCAACACCAAAAUGGUGUGCAGCAUAGAGAAAGGCACCGUAAAGCGACAGCUGCCCUUCAAUGUGUUAAGAGCUGCGAUGACAGAGUUGGGGCCAAGCUCUCCGUCUCUUUCAGAGGAAGACAUGACUAUGAGCUGGAGGCCACCUCACUGGAGGACAAACACAAGAUGAUGCAGCUUGUAAACAAGAUCGUCUAUAGAAACGUCUACAUCCAUCCAGUAGAGGGCAGUGAAGAGAAGUGUGAACGGCCUCCAGCACCAAUGACCCUCACUGAGGGCCUGUUGUUCCUGCAAAGAGGAGCCUUGGCAUCGUUUAAAUGGGUGAAGUACGAGGCUCGCCUUCACCCGGGCCAGCUGAACCUGCUCCCCAUCAGUCGACGGGCGGUAGAUGGGGAGCAGUCCUUGCCAUUUGUCAUUCAUUUCUCAGACGGGGACAACAGCUUAGAGAAGCAUAUAUAAAUGAAAAUCAGCGGCGAUGUAACUUUGUAACAAACUCUAUUCUGACAAAGGAUUCUUUCUGAAGAGUUGAGCAUUGCUGCUGCUGUCUGACUUUUCUUAUGACUGCAUGCCUUGUAUACCCUCUGUAAAACACUCCUAUUUGACAACAUACAAUGUCAUACAUCUAGAUGGGAAAUGUUUGCCCAGUGAUAGUCAUUGUUUGCUCACACAGCCAAAAGAGGAAGUUAAGACAAGUCAUACUGAUGUAUUGCAGGUUUCCGGGUACCUGUGAGAGACCAUUCUAAGAGCACAGAAGCCAUCCAGAGAGAGAGGGAUGCCUGGGUCCAGGCCAUAGAUAAGCUCUGCCUGGACUGGAAAUGAAAGUCUCAGUCUGAGCACAUCUAUGAGGAUCCUAGGGUUAUAGAUCUAAGAAUCUAUGAUAAUAUCAAAUACAUUAUAGAGGAGAGCAAAUCCACAGGCAGAGAAGGCUUCAGCGUAUCAGAUCCGGUGUUGGGUGCAGCAGAUCAGCUAUCAGGGGGAGGGAAGGUGCCAAGAAUUCAUACGACCUCUCCAGCAAAACCUGUCCCGAAAUCUCGCAGCCCUGUAAAGUCAUCCGUGAAUGUCCCUGUCCCUGGUUCUGUAGUUGUCCCUGGUCAUGUGCCUGUCCCUGGUCCUGCCCUUGUCUCUGUUCCCACCACCCUUGUGAUCCCAGCACCCUCCUUCAUCCCUAUGCCUCCUCCAUUGACCUUAAAUGAACCCAGUACAAAACCCUUAACAGAGCGAACCAGGGCUUUUCAUUGGGAGGAAGUUGGUUCAGAUAAGGUACUACUACGGAUGUGUUUGUUUAUCCCUAUUUAUUACACUACAUUUGUAAGCAUGUAAUAUAGUCAUGCAAAUUGACAAUGUUAUAUGCUAUUGCAUUAUGUUAUAUUUAAGCAAUAAUUCACGAGUGGUGUGGUAUAUGGUCAAUAUACUACUGCUAAGGGCUG